CGCUCUUUCGCCAUUCAAACCCAAAUCCAGAAAACGAAACACCGAUCGAAGAUGUGGAGGAGGCGUUUCACUUCACUCCCUCUAUUCUUUUCGCAUCUUCAACAGGUGAGAAGAGCUGAUGAGCUGAAGAUUUGUCAAGCAUUUUGUACUGAAACUGUCAAACCGCCGGUAGAAGGUGAAAGUAAUUCCGGAAGAAAUAGUCCUUUUGUCGCUUUUGUAUUGGGAGGUCCUGGUAGUGGUAAAGGCACUCAAUGCCUGAAGAUUGCUGAAACUUUUGGGUUCGAUCACAUAGGUGCAGGAGAUCUAUUGAGGAAAGAGAUGCAUUCUGACUCCGAGAAUGGUGCCAUGAUUCAAAAGUUAAUGAAGGAAGGAAGUAUUGCUCCAUCAGAGGUGACUGUCAAACUGAUUAAAAAGGCAAUUGAAUCAGCUGAAAAUCGUAAGUUUCUAAUAGAUGGUUUCCCAAGAAGUGAAGAAAAUAGAGUGGCGUAUGAGAGGAUUAUUGGUGCUGAACCGAACUUUGUGCUUUUCUUUGAUUGCCCUGAAGAAGUAAUGGUCAAACGAGUAUUGAACCGGAACGAGGGGCGAGUUGAUGAUAAUGAACAUACAGUCAAGGAGCGCCUAAAGGUAUAUAAAGCUAUCACUCUUCCAGUAGCCAACCACUAUGCCAUGAAAGGAAAGCUUUACAAGGUCGAUGGUACUGGAACUCAGGAAGAGAUAUUUGAACGAGUCCGUCCAAUUUUUGCUUCAUUGAGGUUGUCUACAUAAACUGAUUCCUACAGAAGCGAGUGAUAGUAAUUGAAGAAGUUGAAUUUGCUGUAGAAAAGCACACUAGAAUGUAGAUCAAUUCAUGGAAGAAAAAUGAAAAGGCAAAUUGCUAGUCCAAGUUUACUAUUUGUUCCUGCUUUUCUGGUGAAAAAUCCAGAGUCAAAACUGCCAAUCGUGAAGAUAAAAUCCGCCUCCUCUGUUGCCAAUCUUUAGGCAAAGCAAACCUCUCAUCCAGCAAGUUUACAGAUGUGUCUUUUUCUUUUCCCUUGUUGUUUUAAUUGUUUACACAUUACCUUUGCUCCUUUCAUGCUAUAACCAAUAUUGCGUGUACACACGCGAAAGUGUUCAAAUACAUUACUUCUGCAGUCAAUGUUCCUGCGAAGUUUUGAUAAUUUCAUGAAAGAUGUUGUUGUAAGCACAUUGGACAGUAAAUAACUCUGAUCUACGGUAUGUUGUUGUUGUAAGCACAUUGGACAGUAAAUAACUCUGAUCUACGGUAUGU
rnacentral:misc_RNA from 1 species